UGCGUAGGCGGUCUUUCAAGCCAGAAGUGAAAGGCUACGGCUCAACCGUAGUAAGCUUUUGGAACUGUAAGACUUGAGUGCAGGAGAGGAGAGUGGAAUUCCUAGUGUAGCGGUGAAAUGCGUAGAUAUUAGGAGGAACACCAGUAGCGAAGGCGGCUCUCUGGACUGUAACUGACGCUGAGGCACGAAAGCGUGGGGAGCAAACA
rnacentral:rRNA from 1 species